AAAGACAUAUGUGAAUGGUGAGAUUGCAUGCGAAGGGCGGCAGUUCUUUAGUUGACAUCCACGGAGCACCGUUGUCACACAGCUAUGCGCCGUCCUGGCUUUUAGACAAUAGUGCGAAGAAGGCAAUGAGGCUACAUCUAGGACCGUGGAUGUGCUGGCCCUGUGUUAUCUUAAUUUUUUGGAUACGAGAUUCUGGCAAUGCAACACCAGUCUAUAGAGAGCAGCAGGGAGAUUGCAAGCGGCUAUGGCCACAAGAGCUGACUUCAAGAACGACGCCGUGCCAUUACAUAUGUGUACGUUAUGGAAGAAACGGGAGAAUCCGUACGGAGAUACGCCGCGAGGUAGAUGGAAGUCCUUGC
rnacentral:lncRNA from 1 species